rnacentral:rRNA from 1 species
AUGGCCAAUUCUAGAGGAAACAACGAGUCAGUGUACGACGUGGACAUGGUCAACAAAGAUUUCUUAGAUGCUCAUCGCUAUAGCAUCAACAGCUUGCAACGGGCAAAUGACGAGCUGAAGGUGGAGGUUACAGAGCUGGACAAGGAGACUAUUCAACUGAGGGACGAGAGAGAUAAGCUCAUCGAGGAUCGGGAUAUACUAAAGGAUGAGAGAAAAGUCCUCAAGGUAGAGAGCAUCGACCUCAAGAUGGACAUAUUUCAUUUCAAAAGAGAUGAAGAGGGGAAUAGAAAGAAGCUUCGCCAGUUGAGCGUAAUCCUUAAAGAAGAGUAG